UACGGGGGGGGCAAGCGUUGUUCGGAAUUACUGGGCGUAAAGGGCUCGUAGGUGGCCAACUAAGUCAGACGUGAAAUCCCUCGGCUUAACCGGGGAACUGCGUCUGAUACUGGAUGGCUUGAGUUCGGGAGAGGGAUGCGGAAUUCCAGGUGUAGCGGUGAAAUGCGUAGAUAUCUGGAGGAAUACCGGUGGCGAAGGCGGCAUCCUGGACCAAUACUGACGCUGAGGCGCGAAAGCUAGGGGAGCAAACGGG
rnacentral:rRNA from 1 species